rnacentral:rRNA from 1 species
AGUGAACGCUGGCGGCAUGCCUAAUACAUGCAAGUCGAGCGACCGCACGGGAAGCUUGCUUUUUUACUGUUAGCGGCUGGCGGAUGGGUAACACGUACAUAACCUACUUCUUUGUCUUGGGUGACAACGUGAGACAGGUGCUACUAACACCGCAUAUUUUCUACCGGUUGGUUCAGAAGUGCAAGAGAGUUUUCCCGACACUUAUAGCUGGAUCCGCGCUAGAUUAGCUAGUUGGUAAGGUAACGGCGUACCAAGGCAACGAUGCGUAGCUGAGCUGAGAGGGUGAUCGGCCACACUGGAACUGAGACACGGUCCAGACUCCUACGGGAGGCAGCAGUAGGGAAUCUUCCGCAAUGGGCGAAAGCCUGAUCGAGCAAUGCCGCGUGGGUGAUGAAGGUCUUCGGAUUGUAAAGCUCUUUUGUUAGGAAAGAAAAGAUGCAGAAGUAACCGCGGAUGUCCUGACGGUACCUAAAGAGAAAGCAACGGCUAACUACGUG